rnacentral:rRNA from 1 species
AGCAGCCCCGGUAAUUCCAGCUCCAAUAGCGUAUAUUAAAGUUGUUGCAGUUAAAAAGCUCGUAGUUGAAUUUCGGGGUCAGUAGGUUGGUCAUGCCACUGGUAUGCACUGGUCUCACUGAUUCCUCCUUCCUGAUGAACCGUAAUGCCAUUAAUUUGGUGUUGCGGGGAAUCUGGACUGUUACUUUGAAAAAUUAGAGUGUUUAAAGCAGGCUAACGCUUGAAUACAUUAGCAUGGAAUAAUGAAAUAGGACGAUCGAUCCUAUUUUGUUGGUUUCUAGGAUUGACGUAAUGAUUAAUAGGGAUAGUUGGGGGCAUUAGUAUUCAAUUGUCAGAGGUGAAAUUCUUGGAUUUAUUGAAGACUAACUACUGCGAAAGCAUUUGCCAAGGAUGUUUUCAUUAAUCAAGAACGAAAGUUAGGGGAUCGAAGACGAUCAGAUACCGUCGUAGUCUUAACCAUAAACUAUGCCGACUAGGGAUCGGAUGAUGUUAAUUUUUAAUGACUCAUUC